UUGCAUGUUUUGGCCCUGGGCCAUGUUUUGGCCCUGGGCCGGUGUUGGCCUCUCGAUUUUCUGUAGAGAGGACAAGUACAAACAUGCUAGAUUGACAUUUUUGGGGAGUUAACAGGGCCACCAGUCUCUCGAGGUCAGACUGAGUUGGUAGUAUAAAACUCCCACAUUU
ensembl:snoRNA